rnacentral:rRNA from 1 species
GUGGAUUAGAUACCCGGGUAGUCCACGCUGUAAACGAUGGGCACUAGGUGUGAGGGGUAUUGACCCCCUUCGUGCCGAAGCUAACGCAGUAAGUGCCCCGCCUGGGGAGUACGGCCGCAAGGCUAAAACUCAAAGGAAUUGACGGGGGCCCGCACAAGCAGCGGAGCGUGUGGUUUAAUUCGACGCAACGCGAAGAACCUUACCAAGGCUUGACAUGCUGGUGGUACCGAUCCGAAAGGUGAGGGACCCUUCGGGGAGCCAGUGCAGGUGAUGCACGGUUGUCGUCAGCU